GACAGACGUAAUUUGUCUAUAAUAACAAAAUUUCAAUAUAAAUUCAUUAAUAAAUUAUAUUAACUAAUAUAUAAUAUCGCCACCUCUAGGUUAUUUUUAUAUUUUAGAGUUUUAAGUUCUCCAUUUGUAGUAUUCUUUUUUUUUUCUUCCUUGACAUCCUCCUCUUCCAAUUUUUUCUAUCUUUAACAACUACCAUCACUAGCAAGCGUCACUCACGAGUCUCCACAUUACCACUUAGUCAUCUCUUCCUCCUCAUCUUCCUACUCUUCCCCUUCUUCUAUUUUCUUUUUAUCCAUCUUCCUUUAAU
rnacentral:lncRNA from 1 species